rnacentral:lncRNA from 1 species
ACAUUAUAUCCCCAUGUCUUAUUUAUUUUAUAACUGGAAGAUUGUACUUCUUAAUCCUCUUUACCUAUGCUGUCUAUUCCCCCCAUUCCUCUUCCCUCUGGCAACCAUUAGUUUGUUCUAUAUUUUCUCACUUAGCUUUAGAGUUAAGAUCAUAGGCUUUUCUAUAUUAAUUGCAGCUUAUGGUAGCCCCUCCUCUGACCUAGCUAUACUUGACAGGUACAUAAUUCAAGACUAUGAUUCUAUACCCAGUUACAACAUGUGUGGGUCUUCCCCCCCACACCACCAAGCAAUUCUCAGACACCAGUUGGGUGUCCUACAAUUCAACACAAUUCAGAAACUAUCUACUUGGAGAUGGCCUCAGGUCCCAUAGACUCUGUCCUACAAGACUGCUCUCCCUAUAAUUUGAGACACAAAUUCCAAGUCUAAGUUGUCACCUGUGCUUCUGACCUACUAGCUCUAGAUUAGAGGUUCUAAUCACCCCCCUCUUGUGCCCAAGAUUGCGAAUCCGAGAAACCACCAAGAAGCCAACACCGAUGCAAGCACAGGAGGGUUUAUUAGCAAGCUCGAGCUUGGGCCCAAGUAUACCCGUCACAGCACAGCUGGGACUUGGACCCCGAGGUGGGUUACAGCUGGGCUUUUAUGGGCUGGUCUAGGGGAUUUCCAGAAGGGGUGGAGGAAUUUCUUCAUUCCAAUAUGGGGGAAAGAGUGGGGGAGCUCUGUUUUCAUUCCUAUAUGGGACUUUCUGUCAAGGGCGUUCUGUCAAGGGCAUUCUGCGGUUUUUCCUGUAACUGAAGUAAAGUUCAGCUCUUGUUCAAAGGGGCCUGAGAUGGCUGCCGAAGCUAAGAUGGCUGUACUUGUGCUAACGCUAAACUUGAGAUGGAAUGUCCUUAAUUUUCUCGGCCUCCACACUCCUUGGGUUUGACUAAUGUGCUAGAGUAGCUCUCAGAACUCAAAGAAACAUGUUGCAUACUAGAUUACCAGUUUAUCAUAAAAGGAUAUAAUUUAGGAACGGCCAGAUGUGAAAGACACAUAAAGCAAAGUACAGGGAAAGGGCUUGGAGCUUCCAAGGGUACUGAGGGUAUCACUCCCCACGUAUUCACCAGCUCUGAAGCUCUCUGAACCCUGUUCUUUUGGGUCUUUAUGGAGGCUUCAUUACAUAGAAUGAUUGGUAAAUCAUCACUGGCCAUUGGUGACUGAUCUUCCACCCCUUUCCUCUCCCCACAAGUCAGAGGAUGGAACUAAAGGUUCCAACCCUAUAAUCAUGUGGUUGGUUUUCCUGGCAACCAGCCCCCAUCCUGAGGUGUGGUCUAAAAGUCACUCAUUAACAUAAUAAAAGACACCUUGAUCCUUGAUCAUUCUAAUCCCUUAGGAAAUUCCAAGGGUUUUAAGAGCUCAGUGUCAGAGGGGUGAAGACCAAACACAUAUUUCUUAUUAUAAAUUACAGUAUCUCAAACUGUGGCAGGAGCUAAUGGAUCCUGACUACCUGAGUCACAAAUGGGAUAGGUUAAAUAUGCUUACACUAGGGAGGGAAUUGUUGCCACCAUCACUUCUUCCUCAAAUUUAUACCCAUGUUUAUUUCCUACUUUGUGGUAGUGAUCCCCAAGAGUUGGGAACAGAGUCAAGAAAUGUCACCCUCUGAGCAUAGCAUUAUUACUUAUGGGACAAGGACAUUCUCCAAGUUUUUAUUAAGGAAACCUGAAUAUCUAAUGUAAGGAAGAGCCCAGACUAAUUCUCAUAUCUAAUGGAAGGGGAAGGGCUAAUCCUCAUAUCAGGACUAUAACUGAUAGAAAGAAAAUGAAUUUACUUAAUUGUAUUAUAAGGGGCACCCUUCAUCUGUUCUUAUUUGAUGAAAGAUAUAUCUAAGAGGGGGUGCCUGACUGGCUCAGUCCAUAGAACAUGCAAUACUUGAUCUCAGGGUCCUGAGUUUGAGCCACAAGUUGGGUGUAGAGAUUACCUUAAAAAAAAGGAAGAAAAACAUAUCUAAGAAUAUCCAAUUUCCUAUUCAUUGAAACAUUUUUUAUAAUAGUGAAUAUGGGGAUGCCUGGGUCGCUCAGUGGUUGAGCCUUUGCCUUUGGCUCAGGUUGUUAUCCCAGGUCCCCGGAUCAAGUCCCACAUCAGGCUCCUUGCUUGGAGCCUGCUUCUCCCUCUGUCUGUCUCUGCCUCUCUCCAUGUGUCUAUCAUGAAUAAAUAAAUAAAAUCUUUAAAAAAAUAAAAAGUUUAAAAUAUAUAUAUAUAUAUAUAUAUAAAAUGGUGAAUAUGUGAAAACAACACAAAUUUAUCAUAAUAGUUAUUUUAGAAUAUUUUAUUAUUUUUUUUAGAAUACUUUAAUAAAAGGAUAUUACAGUAGAUUUUGAAGAGUGUCCAAUGGCAAGUAUAAUAGUUUACUAGAACUGCCACAAUAAAAUAACACAGGUUGGGCAACUUAGACAAUAGGAAUUUAGUUUUUCAUAGUUUUGGAAUCUAGAAGUCCAAAAUCAAGAUGUUGGCAAGUUUGGGUUCUUCUGAGGCCUCUCUCCAGAUGGGCACUCUCUCACUGUAUCCUGACAGUAUCUUUUUUCAGUGUGUGUCCAUCCCUGAUGUCUGUCUCUUUGUGUAUCUAAAUUUCCUCUUAUAAGGACACCAGUCAGAUUGGAUUAGGGCCCACACUAAUGGUCUUAUUUUAUUUUAUUUUAUUUUUAAAGAUUGUAUUUAUUUAUUCAUGAGAGACACAGAGACAUAGGCAGAGGGAGAAGCAGGCUCCCUAUGGGGAGCCUGAUGCUAGAUUCAAUCCCAGAACCCUGGGAUCAAGACCCCAGCUAAAGGCAGAUGCUCAGCUACUGAGCCACCCAGGCACCACACCCCCCCCACCCCCCCCCCACCCCCCGGCCUCAUUAUAACUUCACUUCUUUAAAGACGUCUUUGAAGACUCUAUCUCCAAAUGCAGUCACAUUCUGAGGUACUGGGAAUUAGGGUGUCAACAUACACAAAUUUUGGAGAAACACAGUUCAGCCCAUACAAACAGGAAGUUUACAAUAUGAGUAAAAAAAGCAAGAUAUAAUAUUUCAUGUGACCCUAAUUGUAUAAAUAUGUGCAGGAAAAUGCUGGAAAGAAAUACUUAAAAAUGUUAGGAAUGGUUUUCUUAGAGCUUGAGAGGUUUGAAAAAUUAAAAUUUGUUUUCUUCCUUAUGUUUUUCCAUUUUCUAUAAUGAACAUGUACAGGUAUUCUAUAAUGAGAAAAACGCAAUAAGAAUUACGUUUAAAAUUCAUUCCUUUUCUCACUAAUUCUAUGACUAAACCCACUUACCAUUAAGAACAGAGAAUAAGGAGAGAUAAAUGUGGCAGAAUAGUUGGUAUCAAUUGUUAAAUUAUAAGUGGCAUUCUGUUACAAGUCAAGCACUAGGGAGGUUGAUUAUGUUGAUUGGAUCUUUGAGUAAAAUGAUUUAAAAUGAUUUUUUUUAUGUGUGAAGUGGGUCUAAAGAGAAAAAGUUUCCAGCUAUAAAAUGACUAAGUCAUGAGGAUAUAAUGAAUAGCAUGGUACAUUAAAAUUAUCUAUUGAGGGACAUCUGGGUGGCUCAGUGAUUGAGCAUCGUGAGAUCAAGUAUCAAGUCCUGGGAUCAAGUCACACAUCGGCCUCCCCACAGGGACCCUGCUUCUCCCUCUGCCUAUGUCUCUGCCUCUCUGUGUGUCUCUCAUGAAUAAAUAAAUAAAAUAUUUAAAAAAUUAUCUAUUGAAAAUAAAUAUUGAAAAUAGUGGGUCUUAAAAAGUUCUCAUCACAAGAAAAAUAAUUUUAUACCUACAUUUGGUGAUGGAUGUUAGCUGGACUUAUAGUGAUGAUCACUGCAUUAAAUACAAAUAUGAAAUUAUUAUAUUGUACAUCUGAAACUAAUAUAAUGUUAUGUUGAUUAUACCUCCAUUAAAAAAUAUAUUUGUUUUUUAACCUGAAAACUUGAAGGUUAGAUUUAAGACUUCAAUAGCAUCACCAUCCACUACUCUAUAAUGGAGCCUGCAUAGAACUUUUUAUCUGGCCUUUCCUUUGACAUCUAACUGUAAAUUCUUUUUUUUUUAAAGAUUUUAUUUAUUUAUUCAUAGAGACACAGAGAGAGAAUGAGAGGCAGAGACACAGGCAGAGGGAGAAGCAGGCUCCAUGCAGGGAGCCCAACGUGAGACUCGAUCCUGGGUCUCCAGGAUCACGCCCUGGGCUGCAGGCGGCGCUAAACCGCUGCGCCACCGGGGCUGCACCUAACUGUAAAUUCUUAUCCUGGGAAUACAUUUAAAUGAAAACACCCAUAUUAUGUACUUUAGACUGCUAUUUUAUCUUUGUAUGGGACCAGAUUCUAAGAGAUGUCAAAGCGGGAACCUUGUAUUGCUGUGGUCUGUUAGGUUCACCCUGCUUUGAAGUUAUGUCUUACUAGAUGAACACACAGCUAGCAAGUGACUAUUUCCAGAUACUUUUUAUAACCACUCCCACUUCUUGCACAUUAGUAAGUUUUUGUCUUCUUACUGCUGUUUUUGGUGGCUCUUCCCACAUGGCUCUCAGCUCUAAAACUUGCAUACUUCUAUCUUUUCUUCUGAAGGAGCUGGUUCAUUUUCUCUUAUCUAGGUCAAUGGUCCUUGGAUCAUACUGGCUCCUCUCCAUGAGGCAAUCUUGCAGAAUCUGUAAUUAAGGAAACCAUCUAAAUAAAGGGCAAUGUGGCUUUCCUUAAAGAGUUAGCAUUCCUAAUAUUAAGAAUUUAUUAAAAGCCUAGUAAGUAGGCAUAUAGAUGAAAAACCAGUAAAUGGAAUCCAACUAAAUUUCCAAAAACUUUUUGAGAAGCUUUUGUAUCAAAGGUGAUUAAAAAGGAAAUAUCUAUUUUUCCUCACAAAGGCUAGAGAUUUAGCAAGAUACUAGGUGCUGGGGUUAGAAGAAGAAUGAAAUGAGAAGGCCUGCCUAGUGGGGGAAACCAAAAACAUGAACACUAUUAUCCUUUUAUGUAGGAAGUGCUAUGUUAGAUCUAAACAGAUGAACAAGAGAUUUGUUCUUUGUACCACCUGAGGAGUAGAAAGAAUGGCUUCAUUGAAGUGAUAGGAUGGGACUUUGCAGUGGAUGCUAAGGUUUUACAUAACGCUCCCAUUUUCCCCUUCAUAGUUUCUAACCAAUUGGAAAUAAGGUACAAGAGACAAAUAAAUGGGUAUUAAAAUGUUAAUAUUCUUACUGAUAAAACUGUUUAGUGAACGUGGCUUUAGAUCUAUGGCCAAGUAAGCCUAUUUAACACGUUCUGUCUUGAAUUAGAGAGACUUGACUAGUCAGGCAACCAAGGCUAACCUCACAGAGAGCAAAUCAGACUGUACCCUCUCUGCUGGCAGGAUGGCCUCAAAAGUGGGAAGGUAGGAAGAGCUGAACCAUACCUACCCAGUACCUUCUCUUAAAGUCAUUAGUCAUGUUAAUCAAUUUUCUUUCUAGAGAGGAGUAGUGAGGAGGCAGAAAGAGAAAAGAGGCUCACUUUCCUUACCCUUCCCAAUUAGAUGAGCCAAUCUAUUCCUUUUUUUGUUUAUAGUACUUUGAGUUGGAUUUCUUUUUUUAAGAAUUUCAAAACCAGUAUAUUUAAUAUAUAAUGUUACAUUAGUUUCAGGUGUACAAUAUGGUGAAGGAUUUUUGUCUGUUGUAAUACAAAAGAGGCCUGUGUAAUACAGUCUUGAAACAUAAAGUAGGCAUUUUUAAGCUAAGAAAGGGGCAUUUCAAAUAAGAGACAGCAUGGGCAAAAGCCUAGAGGUUUGAAAUGUUCACUUGUGGCUAGCAUAAUGCCAAACAAAAGAGAGAAUUGAAAAUGAAAGAAAACAUCUUAUGUGGAACAAAGUUGUAAAUAUCUAUUUAUAAUUAAAUAAUUUUUAAAAUAGAAAUAGAAGGAUUUUUUUCUCUCUUUUUUUUUUGAAGGAUAUUUUCUUAAUGUGGCAGAGAAUCCCAAACUAACAGUCACCAUACUUACUCCCUUUUAAAUUGCAAAUAAAAUAAGGAUGCUUGUUAUUGCCAUUAUUAUUUAAUAUUGUCUUGGGUGUUCUAGCUAGUGCCGUAAGAUUUGAAACAGAAAUAAGAGGAAUCAAUAUUUCAAAAGAAGAGACAAAAAUAUUACUUGCAGAUGAUGUGGUUUUAUGCCUAAAUAUUCCCAAGGUAAGAAAAAUAUGCAAAAGUCAGUAGCAAUCUUGUACAUCAUAAAUAACUAGUUAGAAAAAAACAAUCCACGAUAGUAAUAAAUACAUAUGUAUACAGUAUUUUAAAAUAAAUUCAAUGAGAGAUAUAUAUGGCCUAAGAAAAACGACAAAGCUCAACUGAGAAAUAUAAUAUGGCUUUAAUAAAGAGACAUCUUUUGUUUCUGGAUAGAAAAACUAAAUAUAAGAAUAUUAGUUCUAGGGAUGCCUGGGUGGCUCAGUGGUUGAGCAUCUGCCUUUGGCUCAGGGCGGGAUUGAGUUCCACAUCUGGCUCCCUGCAGAGAGCCUGCUUCUCCCUCUGCCUGUUUCUCUACCUCUCUGUGUCUCUCACGAAUAAGUAAA